rnacentral:rRNA from 1 species
GCAAGUCGAACGGUAACAUUUCUAGCUUGCUAGAAGAUGACGAGUGGCGGACGGGUGAGUAAUGCUUGGGAAUUUGCCUUUAGGUGGGGGACAACAGUUGGAAACGACUGCUAAUACCGCAUAUUGUCUACGGACUAAAGAGGGCUUCGGCUCUCGCCUUUAGAGAAGCCCAAGUGGGAUUAGGUAGUUGGUGAGGUAAAGGCUCACCAAGCCGACGAUCCCUAGCUGGUCUGAGAGGAUGAUC